rnacentral:rRNA from 1 species
UACGUAGGGGGCAAGCGUUGUCCGGAUUUAUUGGGCGUAAAGCGCUCGCAGGUGGUUCGAUGCGUCGUGCGUGAAAGACCCCGGCUCAACUGGGGAGGGUCGUGCGAUACGGGCGGACUGGAGGCCAGUAGGGGGAUGCGGAAUUCCGGGUGUAGUGGUGGAAUGCGUAGAGAUCCGGAGGAACACCAGCGGCGAAGGCGGCAUCCUGGACUGGUCCUGACGCUCAGGAGCGAAAGCGUGGGGAGCGAACAGG